GAGUUUGAUCCUGGCUCAGGAUGAACGCUAGCGGCAGGCUUAACACAUGCAAGUCGAGGGGUAACGGGGAGGCUUGCUUCCGCCGACGACCGGCGCACGGGUGCGUAACGCGUAUACAAUCUACCUUGUACUGGGGUAUAGCCUUUAGAAAUGAAGAUUAAUCCCCCAUAGUCUCUUAGAGUGGCAUCACUUCUAGAGUAAAGAUUACGGUAUAAGAUGAGUAUGCGUUCUAUUAGUUUGUUGGUGUGGUAACGGCACACCAAGACUACGAUAGAUAGGGGCCCUGAGAGGGGGAUCCCCCACUCUGGUACUGAGACACGGACCAGACUCCUACGGGAGGCAGCAGUGAGGAAUAUUGGACAAUGGAGGCAACUCUGAUCCAGCCAUGCCGCGUGCAGGAAGACUGCCCUAUGGGUUGUAAACUGCUUUUAUACAGGAAGAAACACCUCUACGUGUAGAGGCUUGACGGUACUGUAAGAAUAAGGAUCGGCUAACUCCGUGCCAGCAGCCGCGGUAAUACGGAGGAUCCAAGCGUUAUCCGGAAUCAUUGGGUUUAAAGGGUCCGUAGGUGGAUAAUUAAGUCAGAGGUGAAGUCUUGCAGCUCAACUGUAAAAUUGCCUUUGAAACUGGUUAUCUUGAGUUAUUAUGAAGUAGUUAGAAUAUGUAGUGUAGCGGUGAAAUGCAUAGAUAUUACAUAGAAUACCAAUUGCGAAGGCAGAUUACUAAUAAUCAACUGACACUGAUGGACGAAAGCGUGGGUAGCGAACAGGAUUAGAUACCCUGGUAGUCCACGCCGUAAACGAUGGUUACUAGCUGUUUGGACUUCGGUCUGAGUGGCUAAGCGAAAGUGAUAAGUAACCCACCUGGGGAGUACGUUCGCAAGAAUGAAACUCAAAGGAAUUGACGGGGGCCCGCACAAGCGGUGGAGCAUGUGGUUUAAUUCGAUGAUACGCGAGGAACCUUACCAGGGCUUAAAUGUAAGUUGCAUUAGUUAGAGAUAGCUAUUUNUUCGGACCACUUACAAGGUGCUGCAUGGUUGUCGUCAGCUCGUGCCGUGAGGUGUCAGGUUAAGUCCUAUAACGAGCGCAACCCCUGUUGUUAGUUGCCAGCGAGUCAUGUCGGGGACUCUAACAAGACUGCCAGCGCAAACUGUGAGGAAGGUGGGGAUGACGUCAAAUCAUCACGGCCCUUGCGUCCCGGGCUACACACGUGCUACAAUGGUAGGUACAGAGAGCAGCCACUGCGCGAGCAGGAGCGAAUCUAUAAACCUAUCACAGUUCGGAUCGGAGUCUGCGACUCGACUCCGUGAAGCUGGAAUCGCUAGUAAUCGGAUAUCAGCCAUGAUCCGGUGAAUACGUUCCCGGGCCUUGCACACACCGCCCGUC
rnacentral:rRNA from 1 species